CAUUCUACCGCAAUCGAGCAGUCACUUUUGACAUGACAGUUGACAGAUAGAGCUAAAACGUCGAGUGAGGUCUCAUGCAUUAAAUAUUUUCAGAAAAACCAGAAUAUUUUGAAAACUCCUGGACAUAUACAUUUUCCUGCUCGAAAUAGCAAUGAACUUACAACCAAAAUCAUGCAUAUAGUUAUCAAUUGUUUUAGGCAUGCUAUUAUAAUUAAAUUAGUUAUAAUUAGAUAUGUACAAUCUGCAUAUUUCAAUAAGAUUACAUAAAAAAACAUAUUUUUGUGUAAUAUACUACUAGUUGACUGAUUAAGUAUUGAAAUACUUAAAAAACAUACAUAGGUUACCCAUUUAAUAAAACAUGUUUAAUUUUAUCAUUUGUAAUCUGCGUUAUAGUCUGUAAUGAAAUUUUUUUUAUCAGGUACGUAACUCAUAUUAACCUAAAAAAACAAUGUGGCUAAUCCGGUUGUACAAAAUCUCUAAAAUUGCAUGUCUAAUAGUAUUCCUAUAUCUUUCAAAAUACUUCCUGUUGAAAAAGACUAGAUUUAAGCCUAUCACUUUAGUUUAGUUUACAGAUUGUGUCCAACAGAAUUAACCACAUUAUACGUCUAAGGGCUGAUUUUUCAAUUCUUAAAUAACUUUUAUCUGAGGAAUAAAUUUGAGAUUUGACAGUUUAUGUAUAGAAAAUCUGUCAAAACGUCUUUACUCUUCAGAUGAAAGUUAUUUAACGAAAAAUCGGGCUUAAAUCAGAAGAGGGUAGUUCCUCCUAGAGUUGUAAUAUGCAAACAUUCUAGUUAACCGAUUAUAUGAUAACACACCUGACAAAAGAAAUGAUAAAAUAUCAGUUUUAUAAUCUUAUUGAAAUAUAUCGUUGUAUUCAAAUUUCGCUUACCUAAUCUUCUGCGGAGUACUUUGUUAUAUCUUAUUGUUAAUUACGCAAAACCUUUUGGAUCAAAUCAAAAAUCUUUGGUACACAUAUAGCCUUUAAUUAUUCUAUUUAUACAGCAUAAGAUUAACAAUAUUCAUAAACUAUAUCAAAUCCAACAAUCUCUGCCUAUACAUUUUUUUUCGAUGACACUAAACUCUAUUAACAAGAGAGCAAAACUAUGGUGUGAUUUCAUUAUUUCCAUAAGUAUAAUACCAAAAUAAGAGAAAUGAGAUGGCUAGAGCGUUAAUUUUGCCUAGGAACUGUAUACAAUGACGUCAUAAUACUACUUUAACAGACAGUCAGUAUUUUUUAGAAAAAUAUCACUUAAAAAUUGAACCUACGUUAGGUUUAACUAUAAUAAAUUAAAAAAAUAUAUCUUUUCACGAUUCAUAAACGAAGACACUGCGUAGUUAAUGAACGAUUAAACGUUUGGUCGUAAAAAUGUAUGACAUAAAAUGUAAGAAAGCGUGAAUUCUGUGCGAUGACGAUAAUUGUCAAGAUUUAAACUAUUAUUUAUUUUUAAGUAAUACGUAUUUUUAAUAACGAUUUCAUAAUGUAUCACCACCAAUGAAACAUUCUAAUAAUUGACCAAAGAUAUUGCCAACAGCAACAACACAAGAACUGCUUUGGUCUAAGCCAUUUUAUAAGUACAUUUAAUUUUACAUACAAAUUUUGUAAAGUCAACCGUUGUGAUUAAUACACCUGUAAUACAUGUAUGGUGUAUUCGCUAUAAUUAUAUUGAUCCAAAAAUUUUAAUAUACAAUAACAGACAAGCUUGAAUAAUUUAUAGUGAUCGAGUAAAUGCAUUAAUUUCAUAUUUUGUUAGGUCGCUACGAGAGACGGAAAGACGAAGUUUGAGAGUGUUAUUCCCUAAGCUACUGAAACACCUAGACACCGAGGUGAAAACAUGUUGAAUUCCGCUACGCAGCUAAUACUACGAAAAAAUCGUCAGGUGCAGUAACUUCAACAAACAUAUUGGUCCAAGACCACAGGGUCGCCAGACGUUACUAUUUUCUGAGAAGCGAAAUAUGUGUGAUAAGAGUAGUGUUCGUAUGUAGUUUAACAUACGCUAGGGGCAAUUUAAAUAUAUCAAUUGUUCAAAUAACGUAAGCAAAUUACUUAGUUAUUUCAUUUAGUUAGUUAUUUAAUUAGGUAACGUUGUGUAAACCUGUUAGGGGGUUUAACUUGGAUUCUGAUAAACAAUAGAACAGGGUUAUAUUUAGUAUUUUUAGUUACAACCUGUUUUGUGUGCCUUUUCAAUAAAAUAAAAUAUAAUUAUGAGUCAGACUUUAAGUAAGAUUGUAUUUUUCGCAAGCUUUAAAGCGUCUGGUGGAAAUUACCACCUACAGAAAGCGUCUGGCAGUAUUAAUUAUUGUUUAUUAAUUUAUUAACAAUCUUCUGUAAAACAUACAUAAAAAUCAACACUCAGACUAAGAAAAGUAAUUUUUUUAUAUAGUAGCAUUUAGCAGCUGAUACCUAUAAAUUGGCCCACGGCACAAUUUAGCAGAUAUGCACACAUUAGAAUAGUAGGUAUACGCUAACACUACUCUAUCCCUCUCAUUUUGUUACUCAGAAAAUAAGUAAGGUCUGGCGGUUCCGGAAUCUUGAUCUAUAUUGAGUCUUAAGAAUACAACCCUAGCAAAUUUACAAAACAAUACUAUGAUAUGCAUAGUAAUAAGAUCAUCUGAUGCAAUCCGGAAUGCCGUGACGUCAUACGAACAACUAUAUUGUAUUAUCAUCCAUACACUUUAAGGUGAAUCUUCAUAAAUGUAAUCCAUAUAUCGAUGGUUUAGUUCACAAUGCACUAACUACACAAUUGUCGGUUUUACAGGGGAGCUGUUUAAAGUUCAAAUAUGACUAGCACAAAAGUAGUAGAUUAUUUCUAAACUGUUAAGAAAUUAUCUACUAUUUUUGCGCUAGUCAUAUCUGAACUUUAACCAGCUCUCCUGUAAAAUCGACAAAUGUAUAGUAAGUGCAAAUGUGAACUAAGCUAUCGAUAUCUAAUCUAUACUCUAUCCACGGAGAAAAGUUAAUAUAUAUCUCUCUGUUGCGUAAUCCCGCACCAAUGACAAAGACAAAAUAGUCAGUGGGCGUUAACCAUUUUGAGUGACCAACCAAUCACAAACGAGCUUAGGUAUGUUUUCCACAUUACUCUAUAAACGUUAACGCCCACUGACUUUUUUAUCUUUGUCAUUUGUCCCGUACAAAUCAUUCAAAAUUCAAUUAGAAAACAUAGUUUCGUUUGUGAUUGGUUGGUGACUCAAAAUGGUUGACGCCCACUGAUAUUUAAGUCUCUGUCGUUUGUAUGGGAUUACGUAACAGAGAGUGCCCUAUAUACUAACUUCUUUCCUAGAUAAGAGUCUAGUAUUGAAAUUCAUUACACAAUGGUAUAAGUAGAUACUUUUAUAGACAAACUGGUGCUAAUUCACUUGUAUACUAAAACAGGUCUGAAAGCAUUGCUAUCCUUUUCCGUAAGGUGUUUUAUUAAAAGGAUAGGAUUUUCUAUGGUAUUUUCCAUUUAUUAGAUUCGUUCUAAUAAAAAUAGCACCAUUGUGACCCGUAAAGUGUGACGUCAUUAACGUAUGGUCCACCACAUAGAUAAUUAUAAUUGAAGACCACAUACAAAUUAACAAAUUAGAGACAACAAACAUGCAGUGCUUCUACGCUUACAUUAUAAGUUAUAACUCAAUAAAUACGUAAAUUAUUACAUUACCAAUAUACAGAUAUUGAAUAUUUAAGUUACAAAACAAUGUACAUAAUAAAAUAUCUCAUUUACUUUGUAAUAGUAAUAAGCUAAUUUACAAUAAUUAUUAUUAUUUUUCAAACGUGUUUAGUGCUUUCAAUUGUACACCUACAAUAAAUACUGUUUAUAUUAAGAUUGUUGUUAUUCAACAGGCAGCCUUCGAUGGGUGCACAACCUUAAUCCAAAAAUAAAGAAAUCUAAGAAUUCGUGAAAUAGAAACUUACGAAAUAUAUGAAACGAAAACCUCAACACAAAAAAGAGACAAAAAUAUACCUCUUUCGGAUGUACCUUGCGAGAGAAUGAGAUAGAAUACAUUAUAAAGUGUUUUAUAUAUAUCAUUUUCAUCAUCGUAUUGUUUCAUACUAUAAUUACCAUAAGCCUCUCGAGUCAUUUGUUGAAAUAGAAAACUUGGAGUCUGUAUAUGUAAUGAAAUAUGUGGAAUAAAAUUUAAAAUAGUCUUUUUAAAUUUCAUAGCAUAUUAUAAAAAAUAACCCUACAAUUAUUUAUCCUACUCCUAAUACACUGCAUUCUUAGUUUUUCUCUGAAAGUUUCACUUCGACCGCACACAUGUUUUUUCUUUUCUAUGAAUUCUGAGCAUUCUCCUUUGUUAUUAUGGUCAAUACGGCUUAAAUAAACUUUUCGUUUUAACGUGGCUGCCCGUGGGAUAACUAUGCAAUCGAUUAAUAUAACUACGGACUACAUUAAAUAACUAUUUUAAAAUUUUGGAAGCAACGUUCUUUCAGACGUAUCAUAAGUAUUUCAUGGAUUAAAUGACUAAUAUUGUAUAUAACAUUUUGUAUAAAUAUUUUCAAAUUUGAAGUACGAUUUGUUAACUUAUUACAAUCCUUAUCGAUGGGUAAAGGAGCAACUUGACCGCUUUCUUUAAACCAUAUCACAUAAAUAAUAAAUGAUUAGUAAACGACACUAACUAACGAUAAAAAAUGUUACUGUGUAAAUACAGGAUGUAAUUAGAAUGAUAGCAAAAACGAAGACAGGUGAUAGCCCUGAUGAUUACUAAAACCUGAUGAUUAAAAAAACGCAAAAAAAAUUAAAACCUGUAUUUUUUUAAGUUUUUAAUGUAUUGCAAAUAAAACAUCCGACUGACGCUAGAGGUCAACGAACGUUGCGUAAAUAGAUGCCGCGGGGUCAAUGCCACGUCGUACGCGAGGGAUUGAUCUCGAGUUUGCACUUUAUACAUUGCGGGUUAGAAUAAUACUGAAUCACUAAAACUACAAAUAUAAGGCAAAUGGGUAUUGGACUGUGUUUAGGUAGUAUAAUCAUAGCGCUAAAUUUUUGCUAGCAUUCUAAUUACAACCUGUAUAGAACAUAAGUGACCUAGCCCAAUAGCAACAUGUCAACUUAGAAAUUUAACUUUCAUUUAGGCAAAAUAAAAUGAUAUCAACAUACUCGACGCUGAGUUAGACACAGUGAAGGAUAGAAUUUUGUUUUUUUGGUUAGGUCAGUCAUGUUUCGUACGAUAUUUCUUAAGGAACAUCACAGCUGAACUAAUGUGACUGGAGCGCAGAUUAGACGGGCCCCAUACUACAACUGCAAUAACCCAUAAACUACUUGUUUUUGGUAGCCCCAAAAUUAGUAUAACAGACUUGAAAUAACCUAUUUUGAUAGAACAGAAAU